rnacentral:rRNA from 1 species
CUCCGUAGGUGAACCUGCGGAGGGAUCAUUACACAAAUAUGAAGGCGGGCUGGAACCUCUCGGGGUUACAGCCUUGCUGAAUUAUUCACCCUUGUCUUUUGCGUACUUCUUGUUUCCUUGGUGGGUUCGCCCACCACUAGGACAAACAUAAACCUUUUGUAAUUGCAAUCAGCGUCAGUAACAAAUUAAUAAUUACAACUUUCAACAACGGAUCUCUUGGUUCUGGCAUCGAUGAAGAACGCAGCGAAAUGCGAUAAGUAGUGUGAAUUGCAGAAUUCAGUGAAUCAUCGAAUCUUUGAACGCACAUUGCGCCCUUUGGUAUUCCAAAGGGCAUGCCUGUUCGAGCGUCAUUUGUACCCUCAAGCUUUGCUUGGUGUUGGGCGUCUUGUCUCUAGCUUUGCUGGAGACUCGCCUUAAAGUAAUUGGCAGCCGGCCUACUGGUUUCGGAGCGCAGCACAAGUCGCACUCUCUAUCAGCAAAGGUCUAGCAUCCAUUAAGCCUUUUUUCAAUUUUUGACCUCGGAUCAGGUAGGGAUACCCGCUGAACUUA